CUAGACAAUAACGCGUAUAACCACGAGAUUUCCGAAUGCCUUGGAAACACAUGGACAACUUCGAGAGUGGAUAAAAGUGCUCUGGGCUUCUCCUUCAGUCCGUCCAGGAUGUCCACCCCUCGCUCCCCUGGAACAGACUCCAGCCUUACAGUCACACUGCACUGAAUAAUCAAUCAUGAAGGAUGGACAGAAUUUAAGUGGAUGAUCCCUGAGCAGGUCUUCUCCUUUGUGAAGAAGAAGAUCAUAACCAGUCACCUGCAAGCUCAUGAGGUGGGCCAGCAUGCUGGAAAUCAGCAAAUUUCAUGAGGUGGGCCAGCAUGCUGGAAAUCAGCAAAAAGCGACUGGACCAUGCCCCGUUCACAUUCAUCCCUGCUUUUCCCAUUUCCAAAAACUGCCAACUUCAGCAUUUAGGUUUUCAAGUGGAUUUUCAUGCCGCAGUCUUUUCUACAGACUCCCAACCUCACAUCCACACAGGACAGCAGCCUACAUGGCACUGUCAAGGAAGUUUGGGCUUGUGAUUACUGCAUUUGUUUUGGAUGGUUCUACUUUGACCACUUGCAGCGUUCCUUGGCUUUCCACAGUGCGACAUUCCUCGCUGCGUUAGACGCUCCAAGACACGGCUGUCUGACUGUGUGAAUAUAAUGCGGAGGGGCUGGUGUCAGAAGUCAUGUUUCAACAGUUAAUUUGCAUUUUCUCCCCCACUCUCCUGCAAAUCUUCUGCUGAAAUAAAUUUUAAUGGUUCCCUGUGGCACUAAACACACAUAAGUUACACUUUACUUAAGGGGACACUGAUAGUAGUAACUCAGUCACUACUGAAGUACAAAUCAUGAACAAACAGAGUAAUACAUUGAGAUAUAAUUUGCGUCAUGAGUCAUUAUUGAUCAACAAACAUGAGAUUUCACUUGCGUUGUUCAUAGCUUGUUCCUUCAGUCGUUCACGAAGGUUUACAGAAAUAACAGAUGUAGUAACCAAUGUAGUACCUGCUUGGGAUGAACGAUGUCACGAUUCAUUAAUGAUGAAUGAAUAUGGGAUUAGUAUGUAAGUAAGACUUAGUUUGAGGUUCAUUAAUACAUAUGUAA